rnacentral:rRNA from 1 species
UUCUGAAAGGAAGAUUAAUACAAGAUGGCAUCAUGAGUCCGCAUGUUCACAUGAUUAAAGGUAUUCCGGUAGACGAUGGGGAUGCGUUCCAUUAGAUAGUAGGCGGGGUAACGGCCCACCUAGUCUUCGAUGGAUAGGGGUUCUGAGAGGAAGGUCCCCCACAUUGGAACUGAGACACGGUCCAAACUCCUACGGGAGGCAGCAGUGAAGGACAUAUUGGUCAAUGGGCGCAGGCCUGAACCAGCCAAGUAGCGUGAAGGAUGACUGCCCUAUGGGUUGUAAACUUCUUUUAUAAAGGAAUAAAGUCGGGUAUGUAUACCCGUUUGCAUGUACUUCAUGAAUAAGGAUCGGCUAACUCCGUGCCAGCAGCCGCGGUAAUACGGAGGAUCCGAGCGUUAUCCGGAUUCAUUGGGUUUAAAGGGAGCGUAGAUGGAUGUUUAAGUCAGUUGUGAAAGUUUGCGGCUCAACCGUAAAAUUGCAGUUGAUACUGGAUAUCUUGAGUGCAGUUGAGGCAGGCGGAAUUCGUGGUGUAGCGGUGAAAUGCUUAGAUAUCACGAAGAACUCCGAUUGCGAAGGC